rnacentral:rRNA from 1 species
GAACGCUGGCGGCGUGCUUAACACAUGCAAGUCGAACGAUGAACCACUUCGGUGGGGAUUAGUGGCGAACGGGUGAGUAACACGUGGGCAAUCUGCCCUUCACUCUGGGACAAGCCCUGGAAACGGGGUCUAAUACCGGAUACAACCACUGACCUCAUGGUCGGGUGGUGGAAAGCUCCGGCGGUGAAGGAUGAGCCCGCGGCCUAUCAGCUUGUUGGUGAGGUAAUGGCUCACCAAGGCGACGACGGGUAGCCGGCCUGAGAGGGCGACCGGCCACACUGGGACUGAGACACGGCCCAGACUCCUACGGGAGGCAGCAGUGGGGAAUAUUGCACAAUGGGCGAAAGCCUGAUGCAGCGACGCCGCGUGAGGGAUGACGGCCUUCGGGUUGUAAACCUCUUUCAGCAGGGAAGAAGCGAAAGUGACGGUACCUGCAGAAGAAGCGCCGGCUAACUACGUGCCAGCAGCCGCGGUAAUACGUAGGGCGCAAGCGUUGUCCGGAAUUAUUGGGCGUAAAGAGCUCGUAGGCG